GACGAACGCUGGCGGCGUGCUUAACACAUGCAAGUCGAGCGGUAAGGCCCUUUCGGGGGUACGACGAGCGGCGAACGGGUAGGAGUAACAACGUGGGUGGACCUCGCCCUCCAGCUCCUGGGAGUAAGACCUCGGGAAACCGGGGUACCGUAAUAACUGGAGUAUGACUCCAUGACGCAUGUUGUGGGGUGGGAAAGACCUU
rnacentral:rRNA from 1 species